CGUGAUUUCGAACCCGGGGAAAACACCCAUAACAGAUUAAGACUGUACAGUAAUAACAACACACACAACUAAAAUCCGCUUGUUUUCUCGCAUUCUACAGUUUUCGGGGAUUUACAUUCUUGAAACUGAGUGUACACCUGUUCUCCAAAAUUAAGAAUACCUGAAAUAGUCAGAAUGCGGUGUUUUGUGCAGUAACAUGACAGUGAAGAAUGUAGUGUUGCAGUCUGAUCUGACAAGCACAUGUGAGUGAAGUGAGCAUUUAAUGAUGAUACGAAUAACACCAAAGAAAACCUUAUAUUAACGCAAGCGAAGUGGCAAAAAAAAGAGAAGAAAACCAAGAUUCAGUAAACCAAAUCAACAGGAGACAUUCAUAAAAAAAAAAAAAACUAAAAAACUACGGGGGGAAAAUAUCACCCGAUAAAAUAAAAUUAAAUACCCGUAUUUAACAUGUACUCGCAGCCUCUAAACCCGGACUCGUACAUGGCACAAGUUCGAGGCACGACGAUCUCGGAAAACAAUCACAUCCAGACCAUCGAAUUCGUUGUGCCAAUACAGGUAUCUCAGGACGCACCGAGACAUGAAGAUCUUAAGCAGAUGCUGGACAGCAACAAGGAUGGCCUCAAGUUGGAGGCGAUGAAACGAAUCAUUGGGAUGGUGGCAAAAGGGCGUGAUGCUUCAGACCUAUUCCCAGCAGUUGUCAAGAAUGUAGUGAGUGCCAACUUAGAGGUGAAGAAACUUGUGUAUGUGUACCUGGUGCGUUAUGCAGAAGAGCAACAGGACUUGGCCCUCCUGUCUAUCUCCACCUUCCAGCGUGCUCUUAAGGACCCCAAUCAACUGAUUCGAGCAUGUGCUCUACGUGUUUUGUCCAGCAUCCGUGUGCCAGUCAUUGUCCCUAUCAUGAUGCUAGCAAUCAAGGAUGCUGUGAGUGACAUGUCUCCUUAUGUUCGAAAGACGGCUGCACACGCCAUCCCAAAGCUUUACAACCUUGACCCAGAACAAAAGGAGGAAUUGAUACAAGUAAUUGAGAAAUUGCUCUCAGACAAGACAACUCUUGUGGUUGGGUCAGCUGUGAUGGCUUUUGAAGAGGUGUGUCCAGAAAGAAUUGAUCUCAUCCAUAAGAACUACAGGAAGCUAUGCAACCUCUUAGUGGAUGUUGAGGAAUGGGGUCAGGUCAUCAUCAUCAACAUGCUGACCCGAUAUGCACGUACCCAGUUCAUUGACCCCAAUGCUGGGGAAGGUUUAGAGGAGAAAGAGAAGCCAUUCUAUGAGGAUGAGCAAGAGGAACCAGAAGAUGCAGACACCUUAUCAAAGAGGCCUAAAACAAUGGACCCUGACCACCGCCUCCUCCUCCGAAACACAAAACCCCUCCUGCAAAGUCGUAAUGCAGCUGUUGUUCUUGCUGUUGCGCAACUGUAUCAGCAUAUUGCUCCACGUGCUGAGGUGUCGCAGGUGGCCAGGGCUUUAGUCAGACUCCUGCGUUCUCACCGUGAGGUCCAGGCUGUAGUCCUAACUAACAUAGCAUCCAUGUCCACACGUCGAAAGGGUAUGUUCGAGCCAUAUCUGAAAAGUUUCUUUGUCCGCUCCAGUGAUCCUACUCAUAUUAAGGCUUUGAAACUUGAGGUUCUGACAAACCUUGCAACAGAUGCUAACAUAUCUGUAAUACUGCGAGAGUUUCAAACAUACAUUGGAUCUUCUGAUAAGGAGUUCGUUGCUGCUACAAUCCAGGCCAUUGGAAGAUGUGCCUCAAACAUAAGAGAAGUUACGGACACCUGUCUUAGUGGCCUUGUGUCACUUCUCUCCAACAGAGAUGAGUCUGUUGUGGGUGAGAGUGUUGUAGUGAUCCGGAAGUUGCUGCAGAGUGAGACAGUUGGCCACAAAGACAUCAUUAGCCACAUGGCUCGGCUUGUGGAUAACAUCAAGAUCCCCAUGGCCAGGGCAAGCAUCCUUUGGCUCCUGGGAGAGUACUGCGACAAGGUGCCCAAGAUUGCUCCCGAUGUGCUUAGGAAGAUGGCCAAGACAUUUAUAACAGAGGAGGACAUUGUAAAGCUGCAGAUCCUGACUCUAGCCACGAAGCUGUAUCUGACAAACCCUAAACAGACUCGUCUUCUCUGCCAGUAUGUGUAUAACUUGGCAAAGUAUGACACCAAUUAUGAUAUUCGUGACAGGGCUAGGUUAACAAGAGCUCUUGUGUUUCCAUCACAAGGACACGAAGAUAACAAACUUGCUAAGCACGCAAAGAAAAUAUUUUUAGCAACCAAACCACCUCCAGUUCAACAGUCAAGUUUUAAAGAUCGGGACCAAUUCCAGCUAAGCACACUCUCUCACUUCAUCAAUGCCAGAGCCAGUGGUUACCAGGACCUUCCUCCAUUCCCUGAUGAUGCCCCAGACCCAAGUGUUCGCAAUGUAGAGAUGCCAGCACCAGUCACACCAGUCUUCAAGUCUGCUCAUCAAAAGAAGAAGCCGCAGAAGGUGAAGUCGUUCUACUCUGAUGAAAGCUCACCAGAAGAUGAGAGUGAUGAGGAGGAGAGUGAGAGUGGAAGUGAGAGCGAUAGUGAAAGUGACAGCAGUGAAAGUGACAGCUCAGAGAGCAGUAGUGAGGAGGAGAGUGAAUCUGAGAGCGAUGAUGAUGAGGAUGAAAAGCAGAGGACAAGAGGGAAGGCCAAGAGAAAGUCUGGGGGUGGAGGUAGAAAGCGGGAAGCAUCAGAGUCAUCAGGUAGUGAAGAAUCGGAAUCAGAAUCAUCAGAAUCAGAGUCUGAGUCAUCCUCUUCAGAGAGUGAAUCAUCAAGUGAUGAAGAAUCAGAGAAUUCUGAGUCAUCAGAUGAAGAUACCAAGAAGAAGAAAUCAAAAGAGAAGAUGAGUAAUAAGAGCAAAGCCACACAAGGAGGAGGGAACCGCACAAACUUAGACCUCCUCCUCGACCUCGAUGACAUUCCUCCAGCUAUGGACACUCCACUGCUUACUCCUUCCCUGGGAGGUCUCCUGACACCUACUCCGACAGCUCAGCCUGCCCAACCAUUACCUCCUGGGGCAUCUAUUCAACCGGCCUCAGCAAAGUUUGUACCCACAACUACUCAUGAACUCCUUAAUAGGUUUACUGGAGUUGGACUGUCUGUGGGAGCACGUUUCACCCGAUCGCCGCACCUCUAUUCACCCAAAAUGACAUCAGUAGAACUCACUUUCACAAACAAUGGAACUGAAGAAAUCCGUGACAUUAGUAUUGGCAGGAAGAAACUAGCACCAGGAAUGUCACUUCAUGAGUUUGCUGGCAUUGCGGUACUAAAUGCUGAUACAACACUCUAUGGCACUCUUGGUGUGGACUUCAAUGACACUACCCAGCCAGCAGUGUUUGAUCUGAUUGCUGGGGGACGUACAUUUAGCAUUAGUGUUACUGCUCCGAUUGGUGAACUGAUGACUCCACUGGCAAUGAGCGAAGCAGACUUCAAUCUGAACCAGGGAAAGUUAAGAGGAAUGAAUGAAUUGAGUGGGACAGCAAAGCUUCCAAGUGAACAGAAGAACAUCAAGGCUCUUGUUGACCAUGUGUAUGAGAUUGCCAACCUCCUACAGGUGCAGAGUUCAAGUGACAAUGUGUUGAAGUUUGGAGGUCAGACGGUUUCAGGGAAAGUUUUGGUGCUUCUGAGCUUGACCGUCCCAGAGGAGACCGCUGAGUGCUCCAUCACCAUCAAUUGUGAGAAGAUGGUCGUUUCAUCCAUGCUUCUGAAAGAGUUGCAGUCAGCUUUAACAAAGGACUGAAAGACAAUCUGUGGAAACAUAGUAUUAGGGUUAGCCAUUUGCUAGUGGAACAAGAUUGCUUUUUUGUUUAUCAUCAUUACUGUCAUAUUUUCAUUUUUGUUUUUAUAGUAAAACUGAAGUUUUCUCAUUAUUGCUAUCAUUAUUCCUGUUCCUGAUCUUAUUCCUCUUCCUUAAAUUUAUCCUUUCUUUCUUUCUCACUUCCUUCCUCCACUUCUCUCUCUCUCUCUCUUUCCUAUUUUGCUUUGAUAACUAUUAAAUGUUCCUAAAAAUAAUGCAAGCAAGUGUUUAUUGUAUGUAAUCAUGCAGUUGUUGGAAGGUUGAAUAAAAUCAAUUUUGGUCCCUCUAAAAAGCAGGUAGUAUAUAAAGUGCGUUGAUAGUUAUGGAGAAAAUGUGUAUAUAAUUGAUAUUUAUAUGGGAAAAAGUUAAAAAGUUGUUAAUUCUUGUCAAAAUUCAUUUAUGAGAUAUGAAUUAUUUAAGAAACUACAUAAAGGUAUAUUAUACACAAUGUAUGUUUUAAUUUUUAUUGAUAUAACUUAUUACUAUUAUUGAUAUUAUUUUUCUAGUAAUUAUUAUUAUUAUUAUUAUUAUUAUUAUUAUUAUUAUUAUUAUUAUUAUUAUUGUAAUAAUUUUUACUUUUGUAAUUUUUAUUGUUGUUUAUUAAUUAUUAUUGAUAUUAUGACUUGAUUAUUGAUUGAUUGUUGAUUGAUUACUGUGAAUACAAUUAUUGAUAGUACCAUUCUUACUGUUAUUUAGCUGCAGAUUAAUAUAGUAAUAUUGUUUGAUGUACUAUAAGCUGAAAGGUUUGUAAGCAAGUAUGAAAGCAUGAAAUGAGAAUAGACAAAAACAACUGACAGGGACCUUGUCACAAGAUUAAAGUUGUAAGGCAGUAUAUGUACUAUAUGUGUAUGUAUACAGUAUAUAUGAGGAUUAUUUAUUUCAUUUAGUCAUUACAUUUUUCUUCUUUUUCUUACAAAAUAUGAAGGUCUUAUAUGAGGCCUUUUUGAAAAUAGAACCAAUAAGAUAUAAUUGAAUUAAAGUGAGAGUUUACAGUGUUUCUAGGUUCACAAAAAUACAAAACUUGGGGUUUACUUUGUUUUCAGGCAUCAUGCAUUUUGCAUGUAAAAUUUGCAAUAUCUUAUUUUUAUCCUUACCCCAGAUUAUAUUUUCAAAUUAUUUUUAAUAGAGAAGAAACUAGAAAAUCAAUAACUAAUGCCUCUGCUCUUAUAUACCAUUACAUGCUUUUCAUUGGUGUGUUGCUUUCAGCUGUUUGGCCUUGGAAAGUAGCAUAUGAUAUCAAGGCUUGUGAUGUCUCUCAAAGUGUACAUGUUGGUCAGUUUCAGUGUUUCUGUCCCAGUUUGCCUGUGUUGAUUAGAUUCUGAAAAUCUCCCCCUUUCUUAACAGGUGUCAAGUGAACUGAUUUGGCAUUUUCUAGUAUUCUGUAAAUGCAAAGAGAAAAUAAUGCCUCAUUAUAAUUGCAUAGUCAAGUAUGUAAUGCAUCAUAUUUGCAAACAUAAUAAAUCUCCAUGAAGCCUAAGGCCUUGACAUCGCACCAAGAAAGAUUGCAUCAAACAUUAUCAAUCCUGAAGUUUAAGAUGAGGUAUAAAAAGAAUGUAAAGCUACGGAAUGGUCUCCUAAGGUAACUUACUGCAGUGACAAUUGAUAAGAAAUGUAAUUUUUGUUUGUCCAAUUUUGCAAUCUCAGAAGGUAAAUAAAAUUGUGUAAACUGAUUGUAUAGAAAUCUCAUUAAUAUAUAUAUAUUUUUUUCAAUUUUCUCUCAUCAUUCCAAGAUGAAUGUUGUACAACUUUAUUUGUGUGGAUUCUAUUUUAGUAAGUUUAUUAUGAACAUAAUUAAAUUGUGCACAAUGUGUUCUUUAUCUUUGUUUGAUUAUUUGUUUGUUUAAUAAAAGUGGUGUUGACAUGAU
rnacentral:misc_RNA from 1 species